UCCAUAUUUAAACAAAAAUUCUACAGGCAUUUGUACAAUAUUACUUGAAAGUGAUGAUGAAAUGCUUAACAAGUGCAAUUAAGAUUACCUUGCGUAGUUUGCUUAAAACAUGUGAUUUUGCAAGGAAUGGUGUUACUUUUAUUCGACUUCGGGUUACACCCAUAUCUGUUAUAUCGAGGCCGUAUUUUGUCAUAUUUUGUGGUCAUGUGUAGCACGAAAACGAGAAUGGUGACYGUAAUAAUAUAUACUUGUCACGCAACAUUAGGUUCUAUUAUGUAACAAAUGUAAUAUGACUCUCUCUCUCUACACACACAUUGUAUCAAGUUAAGCACCAGAAUAAGUAUACCGAAUUGUUCGUCAUUAAAGCAAGCAAUCAUAAUCAAAGCCUCCACUAAAUAUCAUGACAGUGACCCACCCUUUUUAUUGCAUAUUUGAAACGUCCAUCGUGCAAUGAACGACUUUCUCCUUCUAUUUCAARGGAAUCACCUUGAUAUAUGGAAAAGUUAUCCUCGGUUUUGAGAACCGGGAUCGGAAGGAUUGCGGGUAACAGCUUCACAAAAGUAAARACAGUAAGCAUUGCACCUGGAGUCCAAUAUUGGAUUUGACCAUACCUGUCUUUCUAAGUACCGUCGCCCUGGCUUUCCACUGCUUCCUCUAGUAGGUUGCCUGUGUCGUGGUAAUGGACACAAGUGAUAAUCUUCAUCCACUUCACUGUAAGGAAGCUGUGGCUUGAAUACUUGCAGCCCUGGUGCUGGAUU